UGGAAGAUGCUUGUAUGUGCAUAUGUGUGAGAGGGUGUGCACGCACGUGCACGGGUGUGUGUUUUAAAGACAACGCAAUUGUGUUUUCCCUACAUAUGGAGGACUGUAUCAUGCAGAAUGGAGGAAGGAAAAGUUUUAUUCAUAAUUUUCUUUACAUUAUGUAAAGGGAGAUCAGGAUUUGUGACUCCCUUUCUUUUUUUUUUAAAGGGCUGCUUCUUCAUCUUCACUGCCUCCCUGCCCUUUUGUUCCUGCUGAGGAGAUGUCACAGGUUCUACUCAUGGAUGUCCCUACCCAGGUGUACUCACCUAGAUAAUUCUCGAGAGUUCUCAAAAUUCUUCUCUCUCCUUUCACCCGCUCUUGGGUGGAGAUACUCCAUCUAUCCUACAAGAAUUGCUCUCCACUGCGUCAGCCAGAGCAUUGAUCAAGCCUCAUGGGAAGACAAGGCUCCUUUUUCUAAGCUCUGACUGUUGCCAUUUCCGCUAAGGGUACUACCCUGCUGGCCCCGCUGGCACAUCCUUUGUAUUCCAGGUGUGAAGUGUGGAAAGGAGUGAGAGGCCAUUUGUGACUUAACUUGGCCCUCAUUAAUCCCAGGGAAUAAGCAGAGGGACACUGAGAGUGGCUUGAUGGAUGGUAGCUUCUAGGGAGGGAAAAGCCUAGAAGGCUUAUUAGAUGAGAUCAUUUUAAAGGUUUCCUGCAGGAGAUUUAACUCAGAUGAAGAGAGAACAUCUUUCAAUCAGUUCACCGACUUUAACUUGAAGCCAAACAACUAUAAUGAGAAAUAGGAGGAAAUAAAAACCUAAGAGCACCCAUCAAAAGGCACAUCUUCCUGAGAGAUGCAGCUCAAGGGAAGGAAUGGUGGGUUGUUGGUCUGCCAUGUAGGGUAGCUUCUAGAAUAUACACAGUGGCUUACAAGCGAGCAUCCUGGGGACAACACAGUACCAAACUCCCUCGAGUAAGCACACAGAGAUCACAAAACCACGAUGGCCUGGGAAGCCCCAUCUGCCAAAGGGCAAACACCAAAUAGGGAGGCUGCAUUCGGUCCUGCUGCCUUUGCUCCCAGACAUUUCAAGGUCAUGGGUUGGUAAGGUGGUUGGGAAAUGCCUGGUGCAGUGACAUACUCUGUGGGGCCUCAAUAAAUGUGAACUGAGAAGGAGAAUAAUAGGCAUUGCUUACCUCCAGCACUUUCCAUCUCUGUGGGGCAUAAAUCGUAACCCCCGGGAGAGAGACUGUCUUAAGGACCAAGUCGCCUCUGCCCUCUGCCGCAUUCGAAAUGAUACAAUCUUGGUUGAUAUGCUGAACCUCACAGUUCCAGAGUUUUCCCCUUAAUGUAAAGUAAACCAACCGUCUCCGGGGAAAUUUGCUGCAGUGUGCUUCGGUGGCACAGCUGUUUGUUCUUGGCGGUGGCCUUCCCCCACUGACAUCAUCACAGUGCUGAUGUCGGAUCAGAUGAUAGAAUGCCUAGUAGUUUCCCACAGGAUGACACAGACCCUGCACGCAGGAUGGCAAGGCAGCACCGGGCACACGUGGCUUUGCCACCUGAGGUCUCUAAUGGUCUAUGAGAACUGCCCUGGCUGCCUUUGAGCAGGGCACACGAGUGUGUGUGAAGCAUAUACUGUGCUCUGAGGUAGUCUGUGCCCUGAGAGUGGCCACUGGAGAGAGCACUGGACUUGCACGACCUGGCUGUGUCCCCAGAUCUGCCACUUACCAGCUGUAUCGCUUUUGGCAAGUCACUUAACGAUUCUGAGCCUCGGCUCUCUCUUCUAGGAUAGGGCUAUUAAUAACCUUCCUCCCAGGGCUGUUUCAUGUGUGAAAGCAGUUUGUAAGCUCUCUUAGGAAUUAUUAUUUUAGAGCUCAGAAAGCCACCCCCAGGUCCUGCCCGGGAGACUGAUGACAGAUUCUGCCGACAGGGCUCUCUAAUUCAAAGCUGGGGAGGGGCACUACCGGCGGUGCAUGGGAACCCAGGGUGCUGAUGAGAGAAUCUGUACACUUCUGCCUAAGACCACAACAUAAUGUCACCCCUUCCCCCAAGGACGAAUUUCCUUUGGCAAACAACAACUGGACAGAAGUAGACUUUCGACAGAACUACUCUCUUUUGCUUUUGACUUCCUCCUUUUUAGAAGUGGAGAUCAGGGGCAGGCAGGUUUCAACAUUUCAAGGUCAUUAGCAGCAGGCCAGGUAACUGGAGUGGACUGUUCAUGGGUUGGUCACUGGAGGAGUCCAAAAAGCUACAUACCAACUAUCGGAACACUUUGUCUUUUGAGUUAGAAAAUAACAACAACAACAACAACAACAACAAAAUACUUGUAAACUCUAAAACCUGACCCUCAGAAAAUCCUUCAGACCAUUUUUAAGGAUUUUUUAAAAGGUUUUUGUCAUCUUUAGCUAAUAAUGAAGGUUUCCCUUUUAAAGUAAUGUGUUCCCAAGAUGAAAACAAGUAUACGUGGAAGGAAAAUGAAGGGAGGAAGAACAUUUUACUGUGUAUUAAAGAUUAGUUUUGUGUGGCACCUGGGAGAAGAAGUCAUGAGCUUGUUGAUGCAGGUGAUGCUUAAGCAGAGUCUGGAUUGUCACUUAACAGUGAAUUGGCAAGGGAAUUUUAACACCAAGUGGAAUAGAUGAUGGCUGGGUCCUUUCCAACUGUUGACCUAAAGUCAUAGGAAAAUAAGGAUGACUUGCUUCUUCUCUUGCAGGGUUCAAAAGACACAUGUGUUUGCUCUGAGAGUAAUCUGGUAUAAAGCUUCCUGUUCAUAAUGUAUGUGCUGGUUUAUAUUUUGGCAGUCAUCCUAUCUUCCAAUUAUAAAGAGGCAAGAUAGAAAAUAGCAAUUGAAUUAGAUUUCCUCUAUGUCUUUUACCUUCCCAUUGACCCUGAAUAUCUGGAAAGUUUUUCUCCUUUAAGGAAAUUCCAGAAUCCAUAAUACUUAAAGUAGAGGGUCUAAGGAUAGCUUGUGCUUUUCUGUUGUUUCUAGUGCCUUAAAUAGUCUCCCUUCAGCGUUUCCACAUUAACUCAAUGAGUCAGUUCAAUAUUUCUUACCAAGUUUCCCUCCUCAACGAAGCCCUACUGAUGCCACUAGAAAGCAGUACCCUUCUUAAUGCUAUCGACCUUAGUACACAUUGAACCUGUUUGACCUUAUUGCAACUGGACUGAAUCAAAGUUACUUAGGGGCUGAUUCUAUUAUAGUAAUUAUUAAAUUAAUAUGAGAAAGGGAUGUUGGACUGCCAUGUAGGGUAGCUUCUAGGAUAUACACAGAGGCUUACAGGUUAGAAAGGUUAAAAAGACAAAAUAAAGAGAAAUACGGACUCCUAAGAAUAGUUCCUAAUUGAUCAUGUAGGGAAGCUGUUUGCUUGGUCUAAAGUGUAACAUCUCUAGGUACAAACAUCGGAGAACAAAAGAAUGGAAGUGAAUCUCAAAACCAAUUAGCAAGUACGUAUUUAUGUUAAACCUAGAAAGUAGCCAGAACUCUUUUUCUGCAUUCAGUAUGGGGACAUGGACCAAAAAAAAAAAAAAAAAAAAAAAAAUGUGUUAUUUCUGAGAAGACAGAGACAAAGGAAGAGUAGGUUUAAAGAGACUUUAUAAACAUUAACCAAGAAGUGGGAAUCUCACGGAUGGCAUACAAGUUAGCUUGCUUCUUGUUUUCAGAAUGACUUUAAUUUUGGCUACAUCAAAAAUAGGACACAAAGUAAAAGGUCUGUUUUGUACACAUGGAAGAUCUAGCCUCAUCUGCCUUCCACUCUCCUGAGUCUUGAGUCCUUGGUGGAAAUUUCCACAUUGGCUAUCAGUUUCUUUUGGGUGACUUCAAGUCCAUUUACUUUUCAACUCCAGAACAAAGUUUUUCUACCUAGCCUGACCCAAGGUGAUUACUAGGCCUCAUCAAGUAGAGUGAAAUAGAAUUAGAAACUAUUUAUACAACUGUUCAAAGGAGAAGCAGUAGGGUGAUCGGACUUGACAUCAUGUCAAUAAAUGGGAAAGAGCUGAAAGAGUUAGUGAUAUCUGAUCUUGAAGUAAAGAUUUAGACAUUAGAAUCGUUUUUGCAAAGCCCUGCAGAAAAAAUUAUAUGCAGCAGGAGAAAGAACUUUUGUAGAAAAGAGUUGCCAUAAUAGUAGAAUGGACUGCUGGGAACAGUACUACAUACUGGCCAGGUCUAAGAAAUGAGAUGGUGACUUGGUAGCAAAAUAACAGAAGAGAUUCCGAUUCUUAAAAGGCCCAUGAUUCUAUGUUUGUCUGGCAACACCACCAAAGGAUGUCAGGGGUCAGCUAUAACCCUCAAUGCUAGUGUAGAACACAAGACGAUAUAGCAACAUCUGUCUUAUUCUUGGUAAAUCAUUCUACUUCUGGUGUUUAGAAGUGAACUAGAAGCUAUGGUCAGUGACAGGUUGACUGAAUCCAUUAUAUGGGUUGUUUAAUAAGGCUGCCAUUUGGGUCAGUUAAAUGUCUAUCAGAGUUAAAUGAGUAAGGUUUUCUCUUGCCCCUAAGUUAAUGAGUAGCUUGGAAAAAUUUAAAAAGGUGUAUUGUAAGGAAAGAUUAAUGCCAGUAUCUUAAAUUAUUACAAAAGAAUUAGCUAUAGGUUUUCUCCUCUCUCUAGUAUGUAUAACUUUUUAUUUGCAGAAUAUUAAUUUUUGUUUAUAACAAAGGCUUGGAAAUAGAGAUAUGUAUUAGUGUGGUUAGACUGUGGAUAAAUUAAGUAACAAUCAGAAACAAAGACCAAAGAUUUUAGUAAUUUUUUUUAUGUGAUUUUAAGGGGAAAUGUUCAUGAAUUUAACAAAAAUGCAUCUUCCAUACUUUCCACAAAAUAAGCCACACAUGCCUGUUGGAUAACUAAAUAGUGUCUAUAACUUUUUUGUACAAGGGGCAGAAAAGUAAAAUAGAGAAAGGAAUAAGUGUCCUUUUAAAGGAAGAUAGGCCAUUUUAUAUUUCUUUCUUUUAAAGUUAGUAAGAUAAAGUUAAUUUUCUGUGUUUGCAACUAAAAAAGAGAAAACUAGUCUAAAUAAGUUAUAAUUUGGAUGUUUAGGGAUGGCAUUACAGAUUAGUGGAUGAUUGGGUUUCAACAAGAGAACCACAGAUCUAAAAGCUUCUACUUACUGUCAUCAUCAGGCAAGUACUGGAAAGGGAUAAAACCUUUCAUGAGUGAAAGCAGAAACCUCUAACCUUCAGAGAUGCUUAGGGUGCAGUGCGGUGUGCCCAAGAAUAUGUAUCACCAUCUUUCAGGCUGAGCAUGAGCUAUGCCCCUCUCUUGGAGGGGAUGAAAGGACAUGCAUUAUAAAGUUCUGGAGUAGCUCUGAUCCAUGUCGUGGGGCCUAGCAGCUGCUGUCAUUUCACUUUUUUCUGACAAGGGAAACAAAUAUUGUUAUCUAUAGUGAUUUUUCAAUACAUAGUAAACUUGGAAGCAUAAAUAUUUUACUUGUUCAAACAACUACAAUUGCUGAUCCCUAAAACCCCUCCAAUGUUUUCAGAGUUAUACUUUACAAAAACUCUCUGGCCAUCAUUUUAAUUGUAGACUGUCCCUUUUCUUAAAUCCCUCCUUUGUCUUCUGAAUCCCACUCUACGUGGAGACAGGUUAAAAACAAACAAACAAACAAACAAACAAACGAACAAAAACCAAAACCAAACAAAACUCUGUUUCUGUAUCAAAACAACAUAGCUACCGAGACUUGGCUAAUUCACUUACGUAUUGAAUUAACUAUAUAUUAAAUAUGUUUUGCUUUCCUCACACAUGACCCUUUCAAAAAGGAAAGUCAAUGUAAAUCCUGUGAAAACUUAAAGAAAGUAGAAGUGAGAGCAGAGACGCAAAGUAGAAAUACAUCCCUAGAAUUAUAAGCUUUUUCCAAACAAAUUAAAAAGAAAUGGACACAGAGGGCAUAUUUUUAUCAGUACUAGCCAGAGUUCAAAAGAAUCUCAAAGCUGAAUUUUAACAAGAUGCUUUACUGAGAGAUCCAGACUUGUUCUUCUCAGGUUGCUUUUUUUGCUUUUUAUAAACAUACUACAGGCCUGUGAGCUGUGAUCUAGGAAAAACUCUGGCACUGACCUACCCUUGUUAAAUACUGUGAUCCGACUAUUAGGAUUUAAUAUUAUGCUCAUAGGCAAAAUGCUGAUAUGUGUAAAAAUUCCAGAAGGAUGAUAGUUUUUCCUUGCCAGCAGGAAAAUUACCAAGUUUCAUUAGGAAUAAAAUAACAUGCCACACCACUUAAAAAUAUGAUUGUUUUGUCGGUCAGAAUGCUUCGGACUUUAAAAAAAAAAUUCUUAACCUAAUCUUAGAAAGAUCACUUUGCAUAUAGCUGAGAAAAGUAGGGCAGUCAUAAGUGAAUUUGCCAAGAACUCUAUGAUCUGAGUCCCUGAUGAAAACUCAUUAAAAUAAAACUGAAAGACUCUAUUAUCUCAUCUCGCUUUAUGAAUAAAUACAAUCUGGAAAAUAUGCCCUUUUUAAAAGGAAGGGUUUAUGGAUGCCAUAUAUAUUUGACGGUAGUCGUCUUCUUCCCUUAAUGUGAUCAUAAUUCCAUAAAGAUCAGAAUGCACUGAUAUAAUUUACUUGUGAAAAAUCCAAGCCACAAUAUCAUUAAUAGGUAGGAUGAAAAGAAGGACAGAAUGUAAGAAAGGAGGGCAGGAAUGAAAAGGGAAGGAAGGAGAAAAAGAGGCAAAGAGGAAAAGAUGAAGAAUUCUCACCAAAUCACGGA
rnacentral:lncRNA from 1 species